GAUGAACGCUGGCGGCGUGCCUAAUACAUGCAAGUCAAGCGGUAAGGCCCCUUCGGGGGUACACGAGCGGCGGACGGCUGAGUAGCGCGUAGGAACGUACCCCAAAGUGAGGGAUAAGCACCAGAAAUGGUGUCUAAUACCGCAUGUGAUCUACGGAUUAAAGCUUUAUGCGCUUUGGGAGCGGCCUGCGUAAGAUUAGCUAGUUGGUGAGGUAAUUGCUCACCAAGGCGACGAUCUUUAGCUGGUCUGAGAGGAUGAUCAGCCAGACUGGGACUGAGACACGGCCCAGACUCCUACGGGAGGCAGCAGUAGGGAAUUUUCCACAAUGGGGGCAACCCUGAUGGAGCAACGCCGCGUGCAGGAUGAAGGCCUUCGGGUUGUAAACUGCUUUUAUAGGUGAAGAUUAUGACGGUAACCUAUGAAUAAGGAUCGGCUAACUCCGUGCCAGCCGCCGCAGUAA
rnacentral:rRNA from 1 species